UUUAAGCACUGUGACACUACUCGGGCUCUGACGACCCUGGAAAGCUCCCGUAUCCGUCAGCCACGCCUUCCGACGACCUUUGACGGACGGUGCAGUGGGCACGAGGCGUAAUAAGAAAGGCAUACAUGUUGUCCGACAUUGUCCUCAACAUGAUGACCUCUGCUGGACUGUUCUGGAAGUUGCAACGUGUACCGCCAAUCCCGAACGUCCGCCGCAAAAGAGCUGAAAAAAUAGUGAAUCCAUUCUCUGCAGCUGGUCACAAACUGAGCCCUCAUCUCCACGGUGCCUUCUCGUGCCGAUGCCGCGCGGUUUCCGCUUCGCCGCUUCGAGCGUGCCCGUGUCUGCGUGUGCGCUGUCUCGGACGGAGACAGCAUGGCUGGCGUCAGACGUUCGCGUCCCUCUUGCGCCAUGUGGAGGCGAAUUAAAAGCCUGUACCAGCGCAGCAACAUUCCUGACCGCAGAGUGCUGAAUAAACUCCUACUACUGAAACCCAAU
ensembl:lncRNA